rnacentral:rRNA from 1 species
GCAAGUCGAGCGGUAACAGAAAGUAGCUUGCUACUUUGCUGACGAGCGGCGGACGGGUGAGUAAUGCUUGGGAACAUGCCUUGAGGUGGGGGACAACAGUUGGAAACGACUGCUAAUACCGCAUAAUGUCUACGGACCAAAGGGGGCUUCGGCUCUCGCCUUUAGAUUGGCCCAAGUGGGAUUAGCUAGUUGGUGAGGUAAUGGCUCACCAAGGCAACGAUCCCUAGCUGGUUUGAGAGGAUGAUCAGCCACACUGGAACUGAGACACGGUCCAGACUCCUACGGGAGGCAGCAGUGGGGAAUAUUGCACAAUGGGCGAAAGCCUGAUGCAGCCAUGCCGCGUGUGUGAAGAAGGCCUUCGGGUUGUAAAGCACUUUCAGUCAGGAGGAAAGGGUGUGAGUUAAUACCUCAUAUCUGUGACGUUACUGACAGAAGAAGCACCGGCUAACUCCGUGCCAGCAGCCGCGGUAAUACGGAGGGUGCGAGCGUUAAUCGGAAUUACUGGGCGUAAAGCGUACGCAGGCGGUUUGUUAAGCGAGAUGUGAAAGCCCCGGGCUCAACCUGGGAACUGCAUUUCGAACUGGCAAACUAGAGUGUGAUAGAGGGUGGUAGAAUUUCAGGUGUAGCGGUGAAAUGCGUAGAGAUCUGAAGGAAUACCGAUGGCGAAGGCAGCCACCUGGGUCAACACUGACGCUCAUGUACGAAAGCGUGGGGAGCAAACGGGAUUAGAUACCCCGGUAGUCCACGCCGUAAACGAUGUCUACUAGAAGCUCGGAACCUCGGUUCUGUUUUUCAAAGCUAACGCAUUAAGUAGACCGCCUGGGGAGUACGGCCGCAAGGGUUAAAACUCAAAUGAAUUGACGGGGGCCCGCACAAGCGGUGGAGCAUGUGGUUUAAUUCGAUGCAACGCGAAGAACCUUACCUACACUUGACAUACAGAGAACUUUCUAGAGAUAGAAUUUGUGCUUCGGCACUCUGAUACAGGUGCUGCAUGCUGUCGUCAGCUCGUGUGUGAGAUGUUGGAUAGGUCCCGCACCGAGCGCCAACCUAUCUAAGUUGCCUAGCCAGUAUGCCUGAAACUCUAGAAACUGCCGGUUAUAACUGGACGAAGGUAACUCGCUGGAC